CACUCUAGAGAGACUGCCAGGGAUAACCUGGAGGAAGGUGGGGAUGACGUCAAAUCAUCAUGCCCCUUAUGCUUAGGGCUACACACGUGCUACAAUGGGUAGUACAGAGGGUUGCCAAGCCGUAAGGUGGAGCUAAUCCCUUAAAGCUACUCUCAGUUCGGAUUGUAGGCUGAAACUCGCCUACAUGAAGCUGGAGUUACUAGUAAUCGCAGAUCAGAAUGCUGCGGUGAAUGCGUUCCCGGGUCUUGUACACACCGCCCGUCACACCACGGGAGUUGGAG
rnacentral:rRNA from 1 species